rnacentral:rRNA from 1 species
CCUACGGGAGGCAGCAGUGAGGAAUAUUGGUCAAUGGACGAGAGUCUGAACCAGCCAAGUAGCGUGAAGGAUGACUGCCCUAUGGGUUGUAAACAUCUUUUAUAUGGGAAUAAAAUGUUCCACGUGUGGGCUUUUGUAUGUACCAUAUGAAUAAGGAUCGGCUAACUCCGGGCCAGCAGCCGCGGUAAUACGGAGGAUCCGAGCGUUAUCCGGAUUUAUUGGGUUUAAAGGGAGCGUAGGUGGUUUGUUAAGUCAGUUGUGAAAGUUUGCGGCUCAACCGAAAAAUUGCAGUUGAAACUGGCAGUCUUGAGUACAGUAGAGGUGGGCGGAAUUCGUGGUGUAGCGGUGAAAUGCUUAGAUAUCACGAAGAACUCCGAUGGCGAAGGCAGCUCACUGGACUGCAACUGACACUGAGGCUCGAAAGUGUGGGUAUCAAACAGGAUUAGAUACCCCAGUAGUC